GGCUGGGCGCGUCGCGUAAACGCGGCGCUGGUCGCCUGCGGCUUCUACCGCUGAACGUCUUUAAACCCGAAGCCUUCUUAUACCCCGGUUUGGCUGCGGCACGCUUGCGCCCAUUGUGCAAUAUUCCCCACUGCUGCGGUCCCGUAGGUCAGGG
rnacentral:rRNA from 1 species